rnacentral:rRNA from 1 species
UACGUAGGGUGCAAGCGUUGUCCGGAAUUAUUGGGCGUAAAGAGCUCGUAGGCGGUCUGUCGCGUCGGCUGUGAAAACCCGAGGCUCAACCUCGGGCCUGCAGUCGAUACGGGCAAACUAGAGUACUGCAGGGGAGACUGGAAUUCCUGGUGUAGCGGUGAAAUGCGCAGAUAUCAGGAGGAACACCGGUGGCGAAGGCGGUUCUCUGGGGCAUGUCCUGACGUGAGGAGC